GAUCCUGGCCCAGGAUGAACGCUAGCUACAGGCUUAACACAUGCAAGUCGAGGGGCAGCAUGAACUUAGCUUGCUAAGUUUGAUGGCGACCGGCGCACGGGUGAGUAACACGUAUCCAACCUUCCGUUUACUCAGGGAUAGCCUUUCGAAAGAAAGAUUAAUACCUGAUAGUAUGGUGAGAUUGCAUGAUAGCACCAUUAAAGAUUUAUUGGUAAACGAUGGGGAUGCGUUCCAUUAGGUAGG
rnacentral:rRNA from 1 species